rnacentral:tRNA from 2 species
GGCGAUAGCUCAACUGGCAGAGCAACGGCCUUCCAAGCCGUAGGCUGCGGGUUCGAUUCCCGUUCGCC